AUUCAAGAGAAGCAUUGUGCACUAACCAGGAUGUUCUGUAGUGGCCUGGUCUACACAUGUUAUAUUUUGCUGGUCUUUCAUGCAGUUAUGUGUAAUAGGUGUUUCAAUAAAAAUUUCAAUGAUAAGCAAGUCUGUUAAUUUGUUUAGCAUUUAUAAAAUUAAUCAAAGUCUGAUAGCCUAAAUCUUAGAAGCUUUUCUCAGGGACAAUCCUUAACCUAGCACAGAGUAUCACCGAAAGCAAUGGGAUUCUGCAUGGGUGAAACAAUCUGCCUAUGCAGAGCACCUUGCUGGACUGGAGUCAUAGUUCUAUUGUGAAUAUUGAUCAUUCCUUUCUGUUGUACCACUGGGACCCACAAACCAACACAGCAGCAAUUUCUACUUUGCUUACCCAGUCUUGGUCCCAAUAAAACCAAUAGCAAAACUCCUGUUGACUUCAAUAAGACUAGGAUGCAACAUUUUUAUAAUUAAUUUCCUAGCCAUGAGGGCUUUUUGGAAUAGCUACCAUCCCCACAAUAACAGAUAUGUAGCUA